CAUGGUAAUUAAAUUUUUCCCUAUUAUUGUUCACACUCAUUAAUUGUGUAUUCAUCUAUCAAUUGCUAACUUGAUCAUAUUUUCCUUGUCUUAGAUUGUUUAUGGUUUUAUUUUGAAAGGGUUAUCCAAUUUGUUUCGUAUAAAUGCGUACAUGUUAAUUUAGUCCUCUUCAGUUCUUAUUCUCUAGUUUCUAUCUAUGUAAGAUGGUAAUUAAAUGCCGAUAUAUUAUGAUACUAGCUUUCGCAAUAUUUGGAUAUGAGAAAAGUUUCCCCAAUAGUAGCUGAGAUAUGAUUCAAACUAUUGUGCCAAAGACUAAUUUGCCUCAAAUUAAAAUUCAGGUGAUUGAACAGUCAGCAGUGACUUAGGCCCCUGGACUGUGCUAUAGGAGCACACCUGCUGUCAUUAUAACUGCAGUAGGCCAAAUGGUAUGUGUCCAUAGUAAUCUUUUAGGUUGUGUUUGCUGUUGGUUAUGGGUUUUUACUUUCUUUAGUUUGCCUUCACAUUUAAGUAAUGGAUGAUUGGCCUUUGGUCUAUUGUGUGGAAUCAUAAAUGUCACCAACCUUGUAUCUGUCGUAAACUUGUGAUUAUUGAUGCUAGGUAUCUGUUCUUCUACUUCCUUCAAUGUGCCUCUUCUGUAGGGACAAAGAUGAAAAAACAAAAGGGAAAUUGUGUUCAAAUAUGUAUAUAUUUCAACAUUUUCUUUCAAGUAACCUUACAUAAUAUAUCCUUUUCCUUUUCGGAUGACUGAUAAUGGAAUGGAAGAGAAAUAGUGAAACAAUGUGCUGCUUCAUGACCUGAUUAAUCAUUAUCGAUAUUGAAUAUUAUCUCCAAAUAAUUUGUAUUGAACUACCAUUAGAAACAUUUACGAAGAACUAUGAUGAUUGCAAGAAGUGCUUUUGAAGCAUGGCUUGUAGUUUCUCCAUUGCAUGGAAAAUAUUCUUUGUUUAUCAAACUUCCUUUGAAGAAUCUCAAAGUUAAACUGUAUUAACCUUUUGGGCUCAUAUCAAUUCAUUAUUUUGGUUACUUGAACAUAGGCUAUCUCUAAGGGACGGCAAGGUAGGGAAGCACAAAAUGUUGUGAGGGUAUAUGUUGCAAAUGUUCGUCUUAAAGAAGUUAACACGGAUAUCCUAAUUUCUGCAUAUGAGCCGAUUCAUAUAAAGUAAGUACUAGGAGUUUGUGUUCUGCUGCAACAAGUUCUCGGUUUUUUGCUUUUCUUUCUGAGAGUACAAAUCAUUGAUUAAAUGCUAUCACCUGUACUUGAAUAAAUAACACCUAAAAGAAGAGCAUCUACACAUGAAUAUACUUACAACAUUCAGUCAAUCUAUGCAUAAUUUCUCUUGUAUUUCAAUAAUUUUAAACAACUAACAAGUUGAAACAUGUUAUAUUAAUUGCAAGUGUAAAAUUAAUGCCUCUUUUUCUUCCAAAUGUUAAGAUGUUGAAUUUCAAGGAUACAAAUGUAUUUCCUCUCAACAUAAAUUUUCCUGCCACUAGUGCUUUAGUAAUGUAAAGAGGCAGAGCAUAAUCUUCCUCCUCUGCACCCUCCUUGUGUUAGAUUCUCCGAUUGUGGUUCAGUUCCCAAAUGUUUGAACAGAAAUAGAUGGUAGAUGGUAACAACACUGUUUUGUGCUGUGUUAAUAUUUCCGACGCCCUCACGCUUUCCUUAUUGUUUUCAGUCCAUUGAGUGAAAGUGCUACCGCCGUCGGGGCUGGUGCUGCCACUCCUGCCGAGCUUUCUGGAUGUGUGCCAAUGGUUGAGGUCUUCAAACUUGCUGUCUCAACGUUUAAAGUCAACAACUGGGGCCUUUUUGGAAGUGUAUAGAUGAGUCAUAGGGCCAUGUAUAGAUUAUACAUGAAUAGGGUGGUUGUUUUGGAUUUAAUGAUUAUUUUUUGUUCAGAAAGAUUGUUGCCAGUCACCAAACUUAGUUUCUGUUGUCAUCUUCCAUUUUCUUUGAAUGUUGAACUGAAUGGCUUCUUGGUUUGGUGA